AUACUUACCUGGCAGGGGAGAUACCAUGGUCACAAAGGUGGCUUUCCCAGGGCAAGGUUUAUCCAUUGCACUAGGCUGUGCUGACCCCUCUCAUUUCCCCAAAUGUGGGAAACAACUGCAUAAUUUGCGGUAGUGGGGGACAGCAUUGGCGCUCUCUCCUA